CGGCGGAGCCGGGCCCGGCCGCAGGUGGCUCCGUGUCCUGCCCGUCCCGGCCCUCACCGGGAAGGUUCCCCUCCUCCCAGCCCCUCUCUGUUUUCCAGCACGAAGACCCCGCGUUUUGAGGUACCAGGUGCGAAGCCAAGCGAAGAAAAGCCCGCAGCCAGAGGCGCUUUGAUGAGCGGCCAAGUAAAGCAGCCUGCCGCCAGGCUUAUCUGCCUGCCUCGCACGCUGCUCGGUGACUCGGCACGUGCAACAUGCAGCAGAACAGGACUUUUCAUUGGACUUUGGGAACAACUAGGGAUCAUCAUUCUGCUCUUCUCUGAAUGAAGGCCCAUUCUGCUUCACUCCAUUGAUCUGCAGUUCUGGAGAUAGAACUAAUUCAGGAACAGAGCUGGCUCAGCAAAAUCUGCCAAUCAUGGCAAAUUACAUGAAUGAUUCUGUGGAGGCUGACACAAGAUUGCUGAACUCAUUUUCGUGCAUGGCUAAACAGAGAAUUGAACCUUGUGCUCCAGAAGUGAAAGGUUAGUGAUUUUAGAUAAUUUUAAAACGAUUGUAUAGGAGUUGAUAUAGCUACUGUCAGUCUACCAUAAUCCUGUUCUUUGUUGAAUUUGCCCUUGCGGAGGCACUGCUUUCUGGCAGUAAUUAAGGGGAGACGUUGCUUUCAGAGAUGCUGAUUCAGCAGAGCUAAGAAUCAGUAAAUUAGCAAUGUCUGUAAGGGAAUUUUAAAUAUUGGUAGAGUACCAAACUUCUAUUGUUACAGUGUCUUGGACAUCUAACUCCAAUUAAGUUACUGUACCAGGCAAUGUGGGAGAGAUGACAGUUCUCUUUUUGAGUCAGGAUGCAGAAAAGUGGGGAAACUGUAUCCAGUUUUUGGCUUCUCAGUGUCACUGCUAUAAAACUAUGUUGAAGGACCAUGAAAGAAUAACUAAGUCUAUAUAGCUAGUAUACAUUAUAGUGGGCUGUUCAGUUAGUAACACAAUGAUGUAGACUCCCAAAGAAUAAUCCACUCUGCUGAUUCAGUAUCUUUGCUGUUUAUGGAAUGAGAGUCGUCUUCAGGUGGCUUCCUGGCUUUUUCCUGUCUGCAUAAAGUUAGAUGCUUUCCUAAUUACAGUAUUCAAUUUCAUUAAUCUUCACGGGUCAUGAGAUGUCUUUAUGCAUAUAAAGGUACCUAAUCCAUACUGUAACUGAAUGCUGUGAAACUAACAUAGCAAUUGAAGAGGAAUCACACUAUUAAACACCAAAGAAACCCCUAUUUUGGGACAAAACAGGUAAGAUGGAAUUAAAUGGAGUAACUUUGGGGUAUACCAGCUUGAGAUGAUAUGCAUCGUGAAGCUUGACUUAGUAUCAAAGCAUUACUAAAUAAAGCUCCAUUUAGUGUGUGUGAGUGCUGGAAAAGCUGACAAAAUAUGACCUACUGGGUAGUCUGUAGUACAACUCUUUCUUCUGUAUGGAGGUAAAGUCUGUGACCCUGCCUUACCUGACAAUUAGCAAUGUCUGAUAUUGGUCAAUUUAGAGAAAGAAGCAUCAAGCUUCUGGUGCCAGACUAGCUGAGGUAGUAUGUGUUUCAUUCUCCAGAAAGGAUAUGUAAAUUUAAAAAAAAAAAAAAAAAGUAAUGAAAGGAACUACUAUCCUAUAUACUGUCAUUUGCAGGUCUUGAUAAGAAAAUUACUUGGCUAGUGAAGUAAGUAACUCUACCCCUUAAAUUAAACAGUUAUCAGUGAACUGACCUAGAACUUAAACUCCCCUAGAACUAAUAUGCAAGUUACUGUGAAAAAAUCACGGAGAACCUAGGUCAGCAUAGAUCAAUACGCAAAAUGACUAUGCUAACAGGUUAUCCCCUUGUGAAUGGGACAUGCAAAACUAAGACACUUUUGUACUAAGUUCUGGAUGGGUAACAGAUUAACAGAAGAAAUGGGAGUCAGGAAGCACAGGUGAAGUGGGAGAGGAAUGACUGCACGUCUCAUAGGAUAAAGAAUAGGCCAAAAAAAAAAAUAUGUAUAAUAGGUUUCCAUGUUACACCAUGGAAAGGUUAAAAGUUAAAAAUUUGCUUCUUCUUUUAAGGGCUGUUGUUUAUAGACUGUGUUGUUUAUAGACUGUGUAUUUAUGCAAAGAUGGUGCUUCGGUAUUCUUCAUCUGUGGUGCUAGAUUUCUCCAGGGUAUUUGCCACAUACAUCAUGGGAGCAUCGGGCUUUGUGUCUGCAUUACCUUAUUUGAUCAGAGUGCUGUGUUGAGCUAAGAAAUGUAAACCAAGCUGAAGCAACUUAAAAGUGAGUAUAAAUUAUCUAUUGCGUGAAAAUCAUGCUUGUUAUAUUGUUACAACACAAAUACUGGUUACAUGUAGACAAAAAAGGCUGAAAACAAACAUGUAAACACCUCAUCUGGGCAUGCUUACUAUUGUAAAAUUAACUAUGAUUAUGAUAGCAUGAUUUCAAAGCAAUACUUCCAGUAGUUUGCAAAGUUAGUAGUUCCUAUUAAAUAAAGGAGAUGCCAAUAUAGGUAGCAGAUUGAAAUGAAGAAUCAUAGGUACUGUCUUGUCUUUGCCAGUUCUUUGUUCUGUGGCUCAUAAUUGCUCUGCAAAGAAGGAUAAUAAUGCUUAGAAGGAUUUGAGAGCUGCAUGCAAUAAAUGCUAAUUAUUAUCAGCGUUCAUUUUAGGCAAAAUCUGAAAUGAGAUCAAAUCCAAAUGAAUCCUUGCUCAUGUCUAGUUAUAUCCAUGAAGAACCAGAAGUCCUUUCACAGUCACUUCCCCAUUUAACAGCCACAUCUGCCCUAUAUUGCAAUUUGCGUGAUUAUAUAUAAUGAACACAUACAUAUAUAUACAUGCAUGCACAUAUGUAAAUGCAUAUAUAUCCAUAUAUGUGUAUUGCUGAAUAUUAAGUUCACUCUUUAAGAAUACCUGUAACACUCUUGGAUGUAGUAUCUUUCGGGAGCUACAGAGGCCAAAAUAUCUACUGCUGUUGUGUUCAUUUCAAUAUGAGGAGACUUACCAAGAAUAAACAAAGAGUGGCGCCCAAGGCAAUUAAAUCUGUAAAGGAUCACGAAGACUACGAACAGGACACCGAACAGGAAGCACAGUGCUAAUGCACAUGAUUUACUGGACAUCCAUGAGAGAGUAAAAAGAAGCCAUCGUGGCCAAACAGCAAAGAGAGGUUAUUAGAAAGAAGGUGAAAAGCUGAAGACACAACUAAAUGAAGAAGACUGAAAGGAUCAUAAGCAAUGACAGAUACAAUAUUAACAAUAGUAUUAGGCAGCCUACAGAUGAGGCCAAGACCUAACUUGCUUAAAGAAUCCAAAGUAGUUCAGUGUCAUUCUUCCAGUGCAUCAGGAGGGGAAAACAUUGUCAGUGAGUCUGGAUAUGAUAGUGGUAUAAAGUGAACUCUUAGGGAGGACAAAGUCGCUGGAGAGAAGAUAAACUCUCUGCAUGCUUGUUCACUGUGGAAGAAAUUGGAGAAAUUCUCCAACUAGAAUUCUGCAGCCCUUUCAGGGCAUUCAGGGAACUCAGCAGAGAGUUCCUCUAAAAAGAGGUAAUGAUACCAAAGACAGAGGAGUCUUCAGGAUCAGAAGAAUUCACCCAAGAAUUCUUAAAGAACUCAGGCGUGAAAUACCUAACAGCAGCAUGUAACCUGUCACGUCAAUAUCCCUCUGUACAUGAAAAUCAGGUGUCAAAUGUGGUGUCAGUCAUUAAGAAAGGUUCCACGGGUGUCCAGCAAACCUACAUUUGACAUCUGUUUCAGGUGAAUGAGUAGAUAUGGUAAUAAGAGUUUGAAUUAGUAUCUACUUGAAUAAAUACGAUCCAAUUAGUGAGAGUUAACAAAACUCGAAUUUCUUUGAAGGGGUCGCUGACAUGAAUGUAGAGUCAACUUGAAUUUACAAAAGACUUUCGACAGAACUUUUGAACAGAAUCAAAGUGUUUCAGGAAAACCAGGCAACAUAAGGCUGUUGCUUGCGUAAGAAAGAAGGCCCUGGAAUGGAUGACAAUGUAAUUUAAAAGACUUGAACACUGGGUAGACCAUCACUGGAUGGAAGUAAAUGGUCACUUUUUCCACAGGAAGGAGAUCACAUAUGAAGUUUCAUAUGGUGUACGUGUUGGGACCUGUAUUGCUCAGUAUAGUCUUAAACCGUAGAAUCACAGAAUGGCUUGGAUUGGAAGGGACCUAAAAGAUCACCCAGAUCCAACUGCCCUGCAGUCGGCAGGGACAACUCCCACCAGAUGAGGUUGCUCAAAGCGCCAUUCAGCCUGGCAUUGAACACUUCCAGGGAUGGGGCAUCCACAGCCUCUCUGUGUAACCUGUUCCAGUGUCUCACCACCUUCAUUGUGAAGAAUUUCUUCCUUAUAUCUAAUCUAAGCCUACCCUUUUUCAGUUUAAAACAGUUACCCCUUGUGCUAUUAAUGACCAGGAGAAAGGAAGUGAUCAGUGAGGUGGCAAAGCUUUGCUGAUGAUAGGAGGCUAUACAAGGACAGAUUACGUGGAAAGUAGAAAGAUGUUGAAAGACUGUACAAUAAACGAUGGGUGCAACUCAGCAUAGAUGAAUAUAGUGAUACACUUGGGGAAUAAUAAUCCUAUCUUCAGAUUUUGGGUCAUUUCUAAGAUGGACCAAAUUUCUUCAGGAACCAGACCUUUGGCUUACUAUAGACAAUUCAAUGAAAAUAUUGACUUAGUAGAAAAAAGAAAAAGAAGAAAAAAAGUUAUAGGUAAGGAAUUAUUAGGAAGCAAAUAGAGAACAAACCAGAGAGGAUCAUUAUGCUGCUGUUGAAGUCAUUGUGCUACUAUAGAAAUCCAGGGUUUGUACACUUGAAUACUGCGUGAAGUUUUGUCAUGGAAAGAACAUACUAGAACUGAAAAAUAUUCAGAGAUGGCAAGGAUGAUCAGACGUAUACCAUGAUGUCCGUGCAACUCUUAAGGAACUCCGUACGUGGAAUAGCCAAGAAUCUUCGUUCUGAAGAGACGUGAUAGGGGGGAUAUAAGAAGACAUACAGAACUGAGAGGUCUGGAUAGCAGUGGAAGGGGCUUGGCUUUUCACCCUCUCUUAUAAUACGAGAAUGAGGGAUAUCAAAAGAAGCUUGUGGGAGUUUUAUUCAGAACAAACCGAAGGAACCGGUUCUUCAGACAACCUGUGUGGGUCAGUGGUGGUACUCUUCAAAGAACCUUCUGCAUCGAGGAGUUUAUGGGAAUACAAGGAGACUGGGUAGAACCUUGGAAGAGACGCUGAAGAGGCUACUAACUAGAUAAUCACAUAACAUAACCUGAAAAUGUUUGAAGGCUGGGAGGCAGCAUGUGCUUACCCUGUGCUUAUUUUUCCUGAGCGUUCAUUCAGAGUUCUGUGAUAGAUGCACCUGUGGGAUGAACCCACACAGAAGUUCAUACGUAACCUCCUUACACCGAAGUCAGGAUUCAGUAAAUAAAGUUAUUAACAGCUUAAAUACAUGUAUAACUUUCAAGCUCCCUAAGUAAUCAAAACGUUUCAAAAAGUUAGGGCUGGAAGAGACCUAAGGAGUCACCUAAUCCCUUCCCCUGUUCCAUGGACGGCAAAAUCGAUUACAUCUGUGUCCUUACUGACAAAUUUGUCUACCCUGCUCCUACAGUUUUCAGUGAUGGAGACUCAACAGCCUCCAUAAGCCUUCUAUUUAAAGUCUCACUAUUCAUACUAUGAGAGGGAUUUUUCUCCUGUCUAACUGGAAUCUAAUCAGCUGUUGUUUGCUGAAUGUAAACCAUUAGUUAACUGCAAGCCUGAGCUAAGAUGGGAGGCGUCCUAGACUUCUGAUGAAUGUUGUCUAGUGACUUUAGUGGCUCUGGAAAUAGCCUGGACGCAGGCUUGGUUUUCAGUGUAGCUAGUAGUUACUGGUUUAUUGUGCUUUGGUUAAUAUGACCAAGCGUGAAUGGGAAUCCCUUCUGUAUGCUUUUAGGGAUUUUCAGGUUAUUUUAACGUCUUACCUCUUUAGCAUUUUUCUGGCUUCAAGGAAACUUUCUCUGAGCAGUGCUUUCUAAACACAGCAUGUUUUGACUUAACUUCAGAAAAGGCUGUUUUGAAAGGUGUGUCUGCAGAAAGAGUGGGACAAAAAGACUUCUUUUAAAAGAUUACUGAAAAACAGCAUGUAUUAUUUUAUUUUUUUCCCUGUAAGGCCUUGAUUUCUGGUUUUGCCAAUAAAUUUACUGAACUUGUGUGUUUGAGAUGGAAUGUUUGAACUGUCCUAUGCGAUGCUGCUCAGUUCACUUAAACUCGCCUUCUUGCAGGUGAUCACUUACUCUGUUCCUCAUCUUCUAGGUACCUGACUUGAGAAGGGGGUUUUGACUAACAGAAGUGCUAGGCAUCUACAAAUCCAACUGAAGUUGACGUGGGCUGCUCUUACAAUACACAGUGUACUUUAAGUUGUUUAAGUCUUUUAAAAAAAUCAGCUCAAAUUAGGCAUUUUAGCAAACGAUUUAAGCUUGAUUUCUUUGUUUCAGUUUCCAGUGUCGAAUAUGAGUAAGAGCACUGUCCUCUCACUUGCACUAAAUUGUGAAAAUCAGUUUAUCGGUAUGUGAAGCACUCAGGAGCAAUAGUGGUGGUGGAGUAAUAGUGGUGGUCAUUCUGAGGAAAUGAAUGUCUGCGAACAGGGGUUUGAAUUAGUAAAUAGACAUGAGGUCAUAUGCAGAACAAAAAGGGGAAAAAAAAUGUACUAAAUAGCUGUUCACUGGUGAGCGCUGACAAUUCUGUGUACAGAAUGAAGCAAACAUCCUGUGGAAAAAUAGUUUGUAAGGGUGUAUUUGAAAACUUCAUCAUACUGUGGAUUACGCAAGGAAGCCAAAUAAAGAUUGCACAAGCACUUUGAUUUUGGUGGUUUUAAGCUCAUUGACUGCAAAACUGCAACCUCGGUGAUGUACUUUUAAUACAGUAUUUUAUGUACGCCAUGUAUAUUUGUAGAUUGUAAACUAUAGUUGUUGCACUGGCUGGGGAGCCAUCUAAAGUGGUCCAAAACAUUACAUAGCACCCUGUGGCCACAUCUCUUGCAUCAGAGACAUUUAAAAAUAUUAAAAAUCAUGUAUGUUUGUAGAUUGUAAACUCUAGCAGUUGCAGUGAAACAAUGGCAAUACCAGCCAGCACAUUGGCAUGGGGAGGAAUGUAAAGCAUUUCUCUUUCUUGAAAAUAACUUAUUAUUAAAAUAACAAUAGUUGCGAAUUUCUGCAUGGAUUGUAUGUAGGGUAGCUGCCAAGAGGCUGGGUGAGAAAUAGGUGCAAAAGGGAUGGAGUGUCCCUCAAGAUUUUGUAUAUGCCUAUUUAGCUCUGCUGUUAAUGACAAGUGAAAACCUAUGGGCUGCUCUCUGUGCACGAAUAAUGGACAGAACACAACCCUUGAUAUUUCUGUUCAUGUGCCUUAAGCGCAGACCCAUAGUUUAUAUUCUUUGUAGGACUAUUACCGUCAAUAUAAAGUCAAAAGUAGUUUUUGAACUUGGGCUAGAAGGUUGAGAGGAAAAUUCUCUUUUAUUUUGUGUGAGGCUGUCUGCUGAGACUAUAGCUACCAAAUCAGAGAGAUUUAUCAAAGAGAAAAAUUUACAGUUAAGCUCUGCCUUCUCAAAGCUUCGGGAAGGUCUGUUAGCACUGAUUAACUUUCUGGACUUAGAGGCAUUUACAGUCUGGAACCUCAUUCAGAGUUCUCUCCUCUUAAAGCACGUGCGAAAGCCUUGCCAUGACGGGUCGUUUCUCCCCUGGCUGGAGGAGACGUCUACUUGUUUAUGUCUUGGCUUUUUCUUACUGGUGUUCUGGAAACUUGCUUGAGUAUGUAAAUUUGUUCAUAUAGCUAGUGAUAACAUACGUGGAAUGAAUCACAAUGCAAGUUGUUUUGCUGAAUUUUGCAUGCAUAUUUAUAAUCACGUAAUCAUGUGUUACAUUAUAAUUGGAUAAUCUAAUACUAGGUUCCCCAAAAGCUGGGGCAACAUUAUGCAGGCGUAGCCCCCGCUGUAAAGGGUUAGAUACUGAGGUACUUGGGGAACAAAUGAUCUUGCCAAGUGCCAACUUCUAGAAUUUUUCUUGCACUUCCCUUGCAAGAGUUGCACAUGAUGCAAAACAGAAGAGAAUUGAGGUAAGACGCUUCCUUUAAGCAAAACAUAGGUGUUUAAUCUUAAACUUACUGUUUUUACAUUCUUGUGAUCUAUCUGUAAUCAUAACGGGAGAGAAGGAGCGCACAGGUGGUUUCCUUUCCCCAUGUUUCAGCCCAGAUUCAGCGGAGCGUGUGUGUGUCUCAAUCCAUGUGACUGUCUUGCUGUAAUACCUUGCUGAAUCGGAGUUUUCACUUAUGUUUACAGCUUGAAGGACUUUGUAAAAAUUCUGACUUGGAUUCCCCCUGUUCUACAACUUGAAAUGUAUAGGCUGGCAGGCACAUAGUUUUGAGGGUGGUUUUUUUUUUUUUUUUUUGUAUUUACACAUAGUGAUCAUUCCACUUCCUGCAGUCUAUCUUAGAGUUCUGACUUCUGCAAUUUUAACUGGCUUUCUGAUUUUCUUUGUUGCUUCCCCUUCCUCCCUUCAUUGUUUUGCUCUUCUGUUCCUUUUCAACCUUGAUGACUUUUUCCUUAACUAUUUAGAGAGACUUCUUUUGCUCCAGACGUGGUUCAUCACUUGGAGAAUUCCUGCAGCUGUGGAUCUUCUGACAACUGUAGCUCGUGGCCACCCCUUCUGUCAAGAGAAUUUUAGCCAUGCUGCUAUGCUGUAGCUGGAUUUCACAGAUGCAUUCGUGGAGGUUGUGUUGUGUUUGGUUUUGUUGUGUUUUGAAUCAGCCCGCUACUAUGUGGCUUUUCUUUUAACUACUCUGGAGACGACAGUGUUACUCUCUUUUGACUACAGGUGUAUUAGGCAACAUGCACAUAAGUAGCUUAUAGGAGUAACUGAAGUACACCUGAUUUGCUCGCUUACAUAGCACUGUACCCAAGAGAACCUUCAGCAGAAAUCUUUUGAAACCCUUUUUAUUGUGUAAGGAUGCGUCGUCCAGACCCAAGAGGUGUCUGUCAGCUGGCUUUCAAAGUUACAUUCAGUGAACACGCUGAGCUGUGGACGCCAGGUUAGGCUUCCAGCAGAUACCCGUGUCACCGUGCUGUGCAUCGAUUUAGACAUAAACUGUUUAAUUAUAGUUGGAGCUUUCGGAAAGGUUUCUACCCAGGUGGCCACUCAGAAGGUUAAUCUGCUGCCCGAGAUGGUUUGAAACUUGCUGCCACGAAACCUGCAGCUUCCAACCUGAGUGGCAGCACCAGGAAUUAAAUCUCUGGUUCCUGAUACAGUGUGAUCCGUGUUUAUCCUCCUGGUAUUUUUAAUGUUGCCUAUCUACUGGAUAACCACUAGCUCAGCUGACAAAGGGGAAGUGGUUUCAGUGUGUUGCUCUGCAAAGACUUAUUUUCUAUAUUACUUCUGGAGCUCCUCCCACUAAUAUGACUAGCUAGAUUAUCUGUAAGGCUGUACUUGUUCUGAAGCCACUAUUGAUUAAAUGCUGAGAUGAAUUUUUUUUAGAAGCUGUCAUUGGAACAUGCUUAGGCUGCAUUUGCUGUCAGCUUAACAGUCAUGUUUCUGUGUCUUCCUCUAAAUUCCUCUCCCAGCUGGGCUCUUUCAUAUCUUAGCAUUAAAAUAGAUUCUUCCUAAUUAGACAGAUCUCUGUCAUGAUAAUCAUCUUGAGAACGUAUGCUGUAUUUUCAUACUGCGUAUCUUUUCACAGAUAGGGCCUGCACUUUAUAAUUUUUCAAAAUCGUAACUCACUGAAUAGAUCCUUUACCAAGCAAUCAUCUCCUGUAACCAGCAAUUAGCGUCCUGUCAGCUGAUACUGUCGUGACGGUAGUUUUCUGAAGCUGAUGCUCGGGAAGAAAAGAGCGUAGAGCAAACGCAAAUAUUUCCGUGUGCAAGGUGAACUACUGCAUGAAAAGAGUUGUUUGGUCAAGGCUGCGAGGAACAUCUGUUUGGAUGACGACAGGCGGUAGCAGAACAGCACUGAAGCUUCUCUCUUCCUUGCCUUGUCCAAGCUCCAACCUGACGUUUUCUUUUCAGCUUGUAUUUAUUCAGACUCGCUGGCUUAGCAGAAACGCUGUCCUUUGCAAAAAUUGAAUUUAAAUAGUUCCCUAAAUAGCAGUUUUUGGCCCUGUUUCUUCAGAAGCCGGUAAUUGUUUGUGUAAGUAUCCUUAAAAUAAAAGCAAUGCAAAAAUGA